UGUAAUAUAUAUAACACAUUAAAUAUAUCAUCCACUAUUAAUUUAUUUUUUGAAUAAUCAAUUAUGAUUGAAAAUGAAUGAUGGUAAUAGAUUAAUAAUGUAUAAAACAUUUAUACAUGCAUCUUUUCUCAUAUUUAUUUGAAUGCAUAUGGUGAGAAAUUCUAGUGAUAAAAAUUGAGAAGCUACAACAGCAACAAAUUAUGCCACCUAUACCUCUAUAAAGGUAAACAACCAGAACAGUCUCUACUAUCAUGGUCAUGAAAUCCAAACUGAUUUGACAUGCACCCAAUGCUAAACCAUGAAGGAAACAAACUAACAAUAUAAAUCAUAUAAUUAAGAUCUUCAAAUUCUUACUUCAUUUGCAAUAAAACAUAAACUAAACACACAAAUUCAAAUUCAGACUUCCAAAAACUCAAAUUUGUAUUUACCAUCUUUACAACAACACUCUACCAUUCUACAUCACAUAUAAAUGAAAGUUAAGUUCUACUAGCAUAUUAUAUAUAGCACACAUAUAUAAUAUAUGUAUUUUCUGUGUAUGACAAGAGAUAAAUAAGUUAAUGAAAAUAAAGCAUAUCUGAUUUAUAUUAUAUCUGGAUAAUGGGUUAAUUAUGGCACACAAAACCUGAAUCAAUAAGGUAGCUAGCUAUAUAUCUAUCUCUUGUUGUGUAAAGGGUUUGGUCCUGAAGGCACUUUGCGCUUUUCUGACUUGAAAUCUCUACCUCUGCUACUGAUUGGAGAAUUAGCCCAAGGAUGAAAAACUUGUUGCCUUGAAGUAGAAGGUCCUGAGAAUUUGGUGUUAAUGGCAUGAACUGUUGGAGUAAUAAGUAAUAGAAUAGUAAGGAAAAGGAGCAAGAAGUUGAAGUGUUUCAUGUUCAUAGUUUGAAACAAUAAUAAUAAUGCUUGUAAGAGACAAGGGUGAAAAUGAAAUAUUGGUUUACUAGCCUUGUUAUUAUGUGUAUAUUUAUAUAAUAUAAUGAAAUUAUG
rnacentral:lncRNA from 1 species